GGUGGUUCUCGAGUGACAAACCCUGGAAUUGGGCUCUCUCCUCUCUGGUUCUGGGUGUGUCACUCGAGAAGCACA
rfam:Myotis davidii contig5820, whole genome shotgun sequence.